UCAAAUGUGGCAACCCUGCUUGCGUGUUGUUUUUGUUAUUUUUUUACAAUUAAAAGCAAACCAAGCAAACCGUCUGAAAAAAGGAGGAAAUUGAAAUGUUUGAAAUUAGUUGUUAUCGGACUCGUUGGUUGGAUAUACACGAAUAAAUUUGAAGAUCUCCCGUGUCCCGGAGAACAAAGGUAAAUUUCUUGAAGUAAGCCUUUUUUUAAAUAAAAUUCAAUAAAAAGGCAAAAUAUAA